rnacentral:tRNA from 1 species
GGAGGUAUACCCAAGUCUNCCCAAGUCUGGCUGAAGGGAUCGGUCUUGAAAACCGACAGGCGGCGAGAGUCGCGCGGGGGUUCGAAUCCCUCUACCUCCUCCA